GCGUCGGAACGUGCCGAGUAGUGGGGGAUAACUACCCGGAAAAGGGUAGCUAAUACCGCAUACGCUUUGAGAAGGAAAGCAGGGGAUCGCAAGACCUUGCGCUAUUCGAGCGGCCGACGUCUGAUUAGCUAGUUGGUGAGGUAAGAGCUCACCAAGGCAACGAUCAGUAGCGGGUCUGAGAGGAUGAUCCGCCCACACUGGGACUGAGACACGGCCCCAGACUCCUACGGGAGGCAGCAGUGGGGGAAUUUUGGACAAUGGGCGCAAGCCUGAUCCAGCCAUGCCGCGUGUCUGAGGAAGGCUCUUCGGGGUUGUAAAGGACUUUUGUCAGGGAGGAAAUCCCUAGCGCUAAUAUCGCUGGGGGAUGACAGUACUCUGAAGAAUAAGCACCGGCUAACUACGUGCCCAGCAGCCGCGGUAAUACGUAGGGUGCUAAGCGUUAAUCGGAAUUACUGGGCGUAAAGCGUGCGCAGGCGGUUGUGUAAGUCUGAUGUGAAAGCCCCGGGCUUAACCUGGGAACUGCAUUGGAGACU
rnacentral:rRNA from 1 species